GGAUUAGAAACCUGGUAGUCCACGCCGUAAACGAUGAUAACUAGCUGUCCGGGUUCACAGAACUUGGGUGGCGCAGCUAACGCAUUAAGUUAUCCGCCUGGGGAGUACGGUCGCAAGAUUAAAACUCAAAGGAAUUGACGGGGGCCUGCACAAGCGGUGGAGCAUGAGGUUUAAUUCGAAGCAACGCGCAGAACCUUACCAGCCUUUGACAUCCUAGGACGAUUCUGGAGACAGAUUCUUCCCUUCGGGGACCUAGUGACAGGUGCUGCAUGGCUGUCGUCAGCUCGUGUCGUGAGAUGUUGGGUUAAGUCCCGCAACGAGCGCAACCCUCGUCCUUAGUUGCCAUCAUUAAGUUGGGCACUUUAAGGAAACUGCCGGUGAUAAGCCGGAGGAAGGUGGGGAUGACGUCAAGUCCUCAUGGCCCUUACAGGCUGGGCUACACACGUGCUACAAUGGCAUCUACAGUGGGCAGCUAUUCCGCAAGGAUGCGCUAAUCUCCAAAAGAUGUCUCAGUUCGGAUUGUCCUCUGCAACUCGAGGGCAUGAAGGCGGAAUCGCUAGUAAUCGCGGAUCAGCAUGCCGCGGUGA
rnacentral:rRNA from 1 species